rnacentral:rRNA from 1 species
GACGAACGCUGGCGGCGUGCUUAACACAUGCAAGUCGAACGGAAAGGCCCUGCUUUUGUGGGGUGCUCGAGUGGCGAACGGGUGAUUAACACGUGAGUAACCUGCCCUUGACUUUGGGAUAACUUCAGGAAACUGGGGCUAAUACCGGAUAUGAGCUCCUGCUGCAUGGUGGGGGUUGGAAAGUUUCGGCGGUUGGGGAUGGACUCGCGGCUUAUCAGCUUGUUGGUGGGGUAGUGGCUUACCAAGGCUUUGACGGGUAGCCGGCCUGAGAGGGUGACCGGCCACAUUGGGACUGAGAUACGGCCCAGACUCCUACGGGAGGCAGCAGGGGGGAAUAUUGCACAAUGGGCGGAAGCCUGAUGCAGCAACGCCGCGUGCGGGAUGACGGCCUUCGGGUUGUAAACCGCUUUCGCCUGUGACGAAGCGUGAGUGACGGUAAUGGGUAAAGAAGCACCGGCUAACUACGUG